CAGUCGAGCGGUGAUGGGGAGCUUGCUCCUUGGAUCAGUGGCGAACGGGUGAGUAACACGUGAGCAAUCUGCCCUUGACUCUGGGAUAACUGCGGGAAACUGUAGCUAAUACCGGAUAUUACCUUGGAAGGCAUCUUCUGGGGUGGAAAGAAUUUUGGUCAAGGAUGAGCUCGCGGCCUAUCAGCUAGUUGGUGAGGUAAUGGCUCACCAAGGCGACGACGGGUAGCCGGCCUGAGAGGGUGACCGGCCACACUGGGACUGAGACACGGCCCAGACUCCUACGGGAGGCAGCAGUGGGGAAUAUUGCACAAUGGGCGCAAGCCUGAUGCAGCAACGCCGCGUGAGGGACGACGGCCUUCGGGUUGUAAACCUCUUUUAGUAGGGAAGAAGCGACUGGGUUUUCCUGGGAGUGACGGUACCUGCAGAAAAAGCACCGGCUAACUACGUGCCAGCAGCCGCGGUAAUACGUAGGGUGCAAGCGUUGUCCGGAAUUAUUGGGCGUAAAGAGCUCGUAGGCGGUUUGUCGCGUCUGCUGUGAAAACCCGAGGCUCAACCUCGGGCCUGCAGUGGGUACGGGCAGACUAGAGUGCGGUAGGGGAGAUUGGAAUUCCUGGUGUAGCGGUGGAAUGCGCAGAUAUCAGGAGGAACACCAAUGGCGAAGGCAGAUCUCUGGGCCGUAACUGACGCUGAGGAGCGAAGGCAUGGGGAG
rnacentral:rRNA from 1 species